ACGCUGAACGGCGAAAGCUACGGGGAGCGAACGGCAUUAGAAACCCCGGUAGUCCUAGCCGUAAACGAUGGAUGCUAGGUCUGGGGGGUGUAGAUUCCCUCCGUCCCGCAGUUAACGCGUUAAGCAUCCCGCCUGGCGAGUAAGUCUGCAAGGCUAAAACUCAAACGAAUAGACGGGGGCCCGCACAAGCACCGGAGCGUGUGGUUUAAUUCGAUGCUACACGAAGAACCUUACCUGGGCUUGACAUACAGGUAGUAGUGAAGUGAAAGCGGAUCGAUCCUUCGGGGAGCCUGUACAGGUGCUGCAUGGCUGUCGUCAGCUCGUUCCGUGAGGUCUCGGGUUAAGUCCCGUAACGAGCGCAACCCUUGCUCUUAGUUAUACGUGUCUAAGAGCGACUGCCGGCGGUAAGCCGGACGCCACGCUGGGGACGACGUCAAGUCAGCAUGGCCUUUAUGUCCAGGGCUACACACACGCUACAAUGGCCGGUACAAUGGGUAGCUAAACCGCGACGGUGGACCAAUCCUGUAAGCCGUGCUCAGUUCGAUUGCAGCUGCAACUCGCGUGCAUGAAGUCGG
rnacentral:rRNA from 1 species